UCUCCGGGGGCCCGGCCGCUAGACACGCGGCCGCCCUGCCCCUGGGCCCUAACCUGUGCCGCCCCGCGUGCUCGCAGACACGCUUCCACCCGCCGAAAUGGAAGAAAGUGACCCUUUGGGAUGCUAAGCCGGGGUCGUGGAGGCAGGAACGGAGUCGGGGAGGCCGUGGCCACAGACGCCUCGCCCCGGCUGCGGGCGGCACGUGAAGCGGUGAUUGCACACGGCGACAUGUGGGUCAGAACCCGCGGACACACACGUUCUGCAUGAGAGCAUCACGUCACGUGGUUCGCAUCUUGAGUUUCUGGAAUUUUGUCCCGUAUCAGCAGCUACACACACGGGGCUGAGCCUGCGCUUCUCCGAGGCCGGUGUCUGACCUUCAGUCCCUCCGUCUGUCGGCCCAGCCACUGUCCGGGGGGCCUGGCGCCCCCAACACUCACCGCUUGAGGAGCGAGUGGGAAGCCCCACCAGCGGUGGCCGCGGAGGGCGCGGGGGCAGCCCCUGGAGGCACAGCGGCGGCCCUGGGCCCCCAGGUCACCCCCCAACCCCGCACCUGCUGCGAGGUGUUCCGGGCGGAUCGCGCUCGCUGGGCGUGGGGCGCGGGUGUCUGCAAACUCCUUGGUGCCGAUCAUGGGGAAGGUGGGCUUCGCGGAAUUAAAAGCUGACAUUUCAGAUCGAACUGGAAGACUGGGAUGAACAUAUUUUGUAAUGUUGUAUCCGGGGCUAUUGAGUACGAAUUUCUGUUGCUUUCUGGUGGGAAGCUUUUGUUCAGAUAGUGUGGCUUUUGUCAGAUAGGAAAUAAUAUAUAUUUUGUUGUCAUUUCUCCUUGAUGUUUUUAUUUCUUUGAAGAGAACUGAUUUUACUUUAGAAACUUUUGUUCUUAUUCAGUAUUUUCUUUCAAUGUUCUUUAAAGCAUAUCUGCCAAGAAAAAUAAUUCACCUUCUUGCAAAAUGUUAACAUUUUCAAUUUUAAGUAAAAGCCACCUUGCCAACAGUGUUAUUUCAAAACGUUUGAUUUGUCAUGAUAUGUUCAGUCUAUUUUUAAGGUUUUCCAAAUUGAAUUUUGAAGUUGGUGCUUGUUCCAAGUUGAAGCAGUGUGCAAUAUGUUGCGGUAUGACUGAGUGGAGGAGAGAAAGAGAUCCAGGAAUAAAUAUAUCUAGAAGAGCACUAACAGCUAAAUUCUCUUUUCGUUUCCCCAGCAAAGGGGAUUAACCUGCCAAAUGGCAUCUUGCCCUCAAAGUCAUAAUGAAUCUAAUUUAUGAACAAGUGUGAUCAUUACUUUUGAUGGAUAUUUCCAGUUAUGCGAAGCACUAAAGGUUGUUGAAUAAUAAACAAGUGAUCUGA